rnacentral:rRNA from 1 species
AUUGAACGCUGGCGGCAUGCCUUACACAUGCAAGUCGAACGGUAACAGGUCUUCGGAUGCUGACGAGUGGCGAACGGGUGAGUAAUACAUCGGAACGUGCCUAGUAGUGGGGGAUAACUACUCGAAAGAGUGGCUAAUACCGCAUGAGAUCUACGGAUGAAAGCAGGGGAUCGCAAGACCUUGUGCUACUAGAGCGGCCGAUGGCAGAUUAGGUAGUUGGUGGGAUAAAAGCUUACCAAGCCGACGAUCUGUAGCUGGUCUGAGAGGACGAUCAGCCACACUGGGACUGAGACACGGCCCAGACUCCUACGGGAGGCAGCGGUGGGGAAUGUUGGACAAUGGGCGCAAGCCUGAUCCAGCAAUGCCGCGUGCAGGAUGAAGGCCUUCGGGUUGUAAACCGCUUUUGUCGGGGAAGAAACGGUCUGCGCUAAUACCGCGGACUAAUGACGGUACCCGAAGAAUAAGCACCGGCUAACUACGUGCCAGCCGCCGCCGUAA